GGGCUUGUGGCUCAGCGGUAGAGCACUUGCCUCGCAUGUGCAAGACCCUGGGUUCGAUCCUCAGCACACAUA
rfam:Ictidomys tridecemlineatus contig032652, whole genome shotgun sequence.